rnacentral:rRNA from 1 species
AUUGAACGCUGGCUGCAGGCCUAACACAUGCAAAUCGACCGAGUGGCGUACGGGUGAGUAAUGUCUGUGAAACUGCCCGAUGGAGGGGGAUAACUACUGGAAACGGUAGCUAAUACCGCAUACCAUCGGAUGUGCCCAGAUGGGAUUAGCUAGUCGGUGGGGUAACGGCUCACCUAGGCGACCAUCACUAGCUGGUCUGAGAGGAUGACCAGCCACACUGGAAUGGAGACACGGCACAGACUCCGACGGGAGGCAGCAGUGGGGAAUAUUGCACAAUGGGCGCAAGCCGGAUGCAGCCAUGCCGCGUGUAUGAAGAAGGCCUUCGGGUUGUAAAGUACUUUCAGUGAGGAGGCGUUACUCGCAGAAGAAGCACCGGCUAACUCCGUGCCAGCAGCCGCGGUAAUAC